GGAAUGGUUGCCCAGUGGUUAGGGCAUUAGCCUGUCACGUGGGAGUCCAGGGCUCAAAUCCCUGCAUUGCUA
rnacentral:tRNA from 1 species